rnacentral:lncRNA from 10 species
GCCAUGGAUCCAAGAGCAAGUUUUUAACCCUCUCGAGGCCCAGAGUAGCCUCUGCCCCAACUCAGUCGGCAGCAGAGCCUGCAGCUUCUGCAGCUUCGCUGGGCCCCUGGGUCUCCCCACACCAUAUUGAGGAGUACCUGCUGUCUAAUUUCUUUGUGCCACUUGCCUGUUCAAACUGGUGCUUUGGGGUGCACGUGUUCCCUCCUAGGUGGUCAGCAGGUGGGGUUGGCCUGAGGCUCUGUUUGGGGUGCUGCCUAGAGAUGACACCUCUCUGGCCCACAGAGAAAUGAGCUGGAGGUCUCUGCCUCAGUUCCCUCCGAGUUAUAACACCUGCUCUGACCUGGGUGUUGGGAGCUAGAGGUCAAUGCCUUGCCCUUGACCAGGCCUCCUGACACCGUCCUGCCAGUUAGCAGGAGCCACUCCUCUAGAGUUUAAAAGGAAGCGAAACCUGUCCCCAAGAAACCGGCUGAAGAUAAGAACAAAUUGCCUCCCUGAGUCGGACCAGCUGCCCGUGGAUCCUACGCUGCAGUCACACCAGACUCCUCAUGUUGUGGGAGGCCUGAACUUCUUUUCCUGAGGAAGGAACUCAGAUAAAAACAAAUAUGGUCUUGCUCUUGCUCUGUCGCCCAGGCUGGAGUGCAGUGGUGCAAACUUGGUUUACUGCAGUCUUAAGUCUUAACCUCCUGUGCUCAAGUGAUCCUCCUGCCCCAGCCUCCCAAAGUGCUGGGAUUACAUGCAUGAGCCCCCAUGCCCAGCCCAACAAUUUCUUAAUUAUACUAUAGCCUUUGCUUCCACAGGAAGGAAGGGAGGAAGAAAUUAUUUUUUUUUCCGAGACGGAGUCUCGCUGUGUCGCCCAGGCUGGAGUGCAGUGGCGUGAUCUCGGCUCACUGCAAGCUCCACCUCCCGGGUUCCCACCAUUCUCCUGCCUCAGCCUCCUGAGUAGCUGGGACUACAGGCACCUGCCACCGUGCCCGGCUCAUUUUUUUGUAUUUUUAGUAGAGACCGGGUUUUACCGUGUUAGCCAGGAUGGUGUCGAUCUCCUGACCUCCUGAUCUGCCCGCUUCGGCCUCCCAAAGUGCUGGCAUUACAGGCGUGAGCCACCGCGCCCGGCCGGGAGGAAGAAAUAUUAAGGGAACAUCUAGUAUGUGCUAGAUAUUUUCCUAUUUUCUUUCUCAUCUAGCUGCAAGAUCAUAUGAUAACAUGAGACAGCAGAGAGGAGAAGACCCCUGUCUCACAGCCAGUAAGUGGUAGGGCUGAGGUUUGAACUCGGGUUUCUCCAACUCCAAAGCCUGGGCUCUUUCCUUCAUGCAGUCUCCACACAAGAACUUGCACAGGUGCUCAAGGGUGCUGAGGAGGAGUGUUUGGUUGAAGAUGCAAGAAGAGAGAGAGAUUAAAUGGGAGUGGGCUUAGAUGAGGGAGGAAGAAGAUGAUGGGGAAGGAAGGUGGCAGACGGACUGAGUGAUGGAGAAGGGAGGUGGGGGAGGGAAGGGUCACAGGGUUCUGCUUUGACAGGGAUUUGGGAUCCCAAGAAUGGAGCUUUUUUUCCACACUGUGCCUUGCUGGAAUCACCUCACGUCCCCACAUGCGAUGAGCUCAUCCUUCUCUUGGCACCACCUGCCUCUCAUCUUGGCCCUGGCUGGGACGCACCAACGUUUCUGCAGGAGGAAUAAAGCAAUAACAGGAAUCUCAUUUUUCUCCUUAAAAUAAUAUCUCUCUGUUCUGCCAGCAAGCAGGGAGCUACUCCUGCCAGCACUCCAGUGGGAAGCCUGUUCCCAAUCCGAUAGGAUUAGUCUGAUACUGGCUUCCCAGGAGCCCCCAGUAGCCAAGGCAGCCCUCAGGUGACCUUGAGCUCCUGGCUACAGAUCCCCUGAUGUCCUUCUCAGCCCCCAGAUAGUCACUCACCUCCAUGCCUCCAUCCCAGGCUCUCCAGGGCAAAGGGAUGCUAUUCUCACUAGUCCCAGGCUCCCCUAGCUGGUAGCUCCUUCACCAUCUCUCUAGGACCUAACCAAUUUCCUACAAGGAAAGGAUCACUGGAAAAACCAUUUUGAACAGGAAGAAUUUAAUUUUUUUGCAACAGGCUUUCCCCUCUUUAAAGAAAAGAAAGAAAAAAGAGUCCUCAUUUACCUAAAGGUCUGAGUGCCUGGAAAUUUCUUCCCUGUGUGCACAUUACCCACUUCCUGGCUGCAGGGAUGGAAGGACUCGGAGAAUUCGAAGGAUAUUAAACAGAUUCAUAAUGGACUCAGCAGUAUAAACAUGUCUCAAGUGCAGACAGAAAUGCCACAAGCUCCUACUUGGUUUAAUGAAAACAUACACCAGU